rnacentral:rRNA from 1 species
CGCGACCCCAGGUCAGGCGGGGUUACCCGCUGAGUUUAAG